UCAGAGAUUAUUUUGAUCUUGAAAAUCCCAGUCGUACCAGGGCAUUUUAAUCUUGAAGAUGCUGACUUUCACAGAUGCUUUUCGAAGUUUCACGGACCUAAGUGUUGUCGAUGUAUGUGACCUUAAGCGGUGAAAGGUGGCCAGAGGUGAGCUCCACGCUGGUGUGCUGAUGAAGAUUCCAGAUGCGGAGACGACACAGCCCUCCCCAGGCCUGGUGACAAAUGAUCAUGACUUCUGCGUCUCGUUUUUCACCACACAGGUUCUGCCACAUGGUGCAGGCCACCAGCCCAGCUUCUAGUCUUUGAUGUCACGGAGAGGACCAUUCCAGGCACUGUGGCCCCCGAAGCUCCCCAGUGAAGACUCUUGAAUACCGGCUUCUGACCUAACCUCAGUUCGAUGCUGUUAGACGGCACCCUGGCUGGGGCACCAGCUCUGGGGCUCUGCUUAGAGUGGAAGCACACAGCCUCAUGAACUAGGUGCACGACUCACCUCUAGCAGAACAAGAGACAAAUGAACCUGUGAGGGGGUGUUCUGAUUUGACAUCUGAUGCUUGGAACUUAGUUAUUCUGUUCAACGUAUGUAUUAUGAAACCCUUUCUUGGUGUUUCUGAAGCAUUGCUGACACUCAGUUAAGUAGACCCUGCUUUUGUAAAGGAACGAGAACACUAUUAAAUCAGCCCCAUUCUCACUGAUUCCCGAGAAGUCCUAGGCCCUUACUGAGUCUCCCUCUUUUUUUUUUAUAAUGGCAGUACAGCUAGUUACAUAGAUCUGAUACAAAUCUGUCCAACUAUUUACCAGAACACAGCUGAAUUAUGUGACUAAGACCAUACAAGGACUGUAAUAUUUCAGAAGAAUUCUUAUUUACUCAGGAAUGACAUGCUGCUUUAAGAAAACAGUGUAAACUCAGGUUAACCCCGCGUAGGGUCUUGGCCUUACAGACAGUGAGGCAGGCCACCUCCUGGUAAGACAAGAAUCUUUGUAAAUUUUAGGGACUUUGAGAAGAGAGGAAUUCAUUAGAUUUAUUGGUACUGUGAGGACCAAUAAAAUUCUCCAGUAGAGCUUUUUUAGACUUGAUUUCCUAAUCUCUGGAUAGCAAAUAAUAGCGGCUUUAAAAAUAAAAUUCAAUCUCCUUAGAAAAACUUCCAAA